rnacentral:rRNA from 1 species
UACGUAGGUGGCAAGCGAUACUCGGAAUCUACUAGGCGUAAAGCGCAGGUAGGAGGUUUAGUAAGUCUGUUGUGAAAGCUCCCGGCUUAACUGGGAGAGGUCAACGGAAACUGCUAGGCUAGAGUGCGGUAGAGGUAGCUGGAAUUCCCGGUGUAGCGGUGAAAUGCGUAGAUAUCGGGAGGAAUACCUAUGGCGAAAGCAGGCUACUGGACCGUCACUGACUCUGAUCUGCGAAAGCUAGGGGAGCAAACAGG